CCAAACAUAGCGUCGAAAUUGUUGUAGGUGGAGCUAAAUCUUAUAUUUUCUGGCGAGGUUGCAGCUGCAGGUGUGGUUUGAUCCGAGAAGCUGGUAAAAUCUGAAAUUGAAAUUGAAAUCGGAGAAAUGGGAGAGACAGCUUCUGCGGCUGCGUCCACCGUCGACGACGAUUUGCUUCUCAAGAACUUCUUCGCCGAAGUCAGCGAAGCCGAGAGGGACAACGAAGUCGCUAGGAUUCUCUCUUGUUUUAAGUUGAAUCCGUUUGAGUAUCUAAAGCUUCCAUUUGAUUCAUCACCUGAUGAUGUGAAAAAGCAGUACCGCAAGUUGUCUUUGAUGGUUCACCCUGAUAAAUGUAAGCAUCCACAAGCAAAGGAGGCUUUUGGAGCCCUAGCAAAAGCCCAACAAUUAUUACUAGACCAAAAUGAAAGAGAUUACCUUCUUAGCCAGGUCAAUUCAGCUAAAGAAGAACUUAGAGCAAAGAGGAAGAAGCAGUUGAAGAAGGAUACAGCUUCGAAAAUUAAGUCUUUGGUUGAAGAGGGAAAAUAUGAUAAACAAUAUGAACAGUCAGAGGAGUUCCAGAAAGAGCUCAAAAUCAAGGUUCGUGUACUAUUAACUGAACAAGAAUGGAGGAGAAGAAAAAUGCAGAUGAGGAUAUCAGAGGAGGAAGGCAGAUUAAAAAAGGAUGAAGAGGAACAAAAAGAGAUGUGGAAAAGGAAGCGUGAACAUGAGGAAGAGUGGGAAGGAACAAGAGAACAGAGGAAAAAGAUUUAACAUUGUACAAAAUGUGGAUAACGUUACUACAACGGAUUUAUUAUCAGGUGUCGAGUUGGAGAGAUUUCAUGAAGGGUGGAAAGAAGAAUAAGAAAGGAGAACUUCGGCCCCCUAAGCUUAAGACGGAAGAUCCAAACAAAUCCUACGUUCAGAGGCCUGUCAAAAGAGGUUAGACUGUUUGGAGGCAUUUCAUACACAAAUCAAUCUAACAAAGAAGUCCCUGAGAAGAGAGCACUCAUUUAUGCUGGCUAUUCCUUUGUCUGUCAAUUUGAUGGAUACUUGUUAGCAUGUUUAUCAGUGGGGUCACGAGAUGCAUCUAGAUGGGAUGUUACACAAGAACUACAUAGGGAUUUUAACUAGUGUGUCAUUAUUAAGUCUUUGUCAGAAAUUAUGUAACUUGCUGGUUCCGGCCUAUUGAAAAUAGGAUUAUAUUUACUUUGCGUCUCCAGCGAGUCA